GUGCCAGCAGCCGCGGUAAUACAGAGGUGGCAAGCGUUGUUCGGAAUUACUGGGCGUAAAGGGCGCGUAGGCGGUCUUGUAAGUCUUGUGUGAAAUCCCUCGGCUUAACUGAGGAACUGCACGGGAUACUGCGAGACUUGAGAUCGGGAGAGGGAAGCGGAAUUCCGGGUGUAGCGGUGAAAUGCGUAGAUAUCCGGAGGAACACCGGUGGCGAAGGCGGCUUCCUGGACCGACACUGACGCUGAGGCGCGAAAGCUAGGGGAGCAAACGGGAUUAGAUACCCCGGUAGUCC
rnacentral:rRNA from 1 species